AUUUAAACGAUAAAUACUAUAAAUAAGAAAGAAAGAAUAAUUUUCCUUCUAACAGAAGAAGUUAGUAACUGACAUUCAUUUCUCUUCUUUCUGCUAUUCGCUUGUUUCGUCUUCUUCUCUACGCAUAUCUCUAACGCAUGCGUCGCAGAUCAUUUUAGAAGGAUUUCAAUCGAAGAAUUCAAGCUUUGGUUUCUCCAGAUUUUGUCUUAGUGGACGUGGUAAAGUACUUGAAUCAACAUCACCAUGGUUUCCUUUGAAAUGAAUGACCGCAAGAAGAUUGGGCUAGGAUUGACAGGAUUUGGCAUAUUUUUCUCGUUCCUGGGCAUUAUUUUCUUCUUUGACAAGU